ensembl:lncRNA
UCUACCUGCUGAGGCACUGCUAUGUCUUAUCUGCGUCACUGCAGGUUGUGGUGUUACUGUGUGUGUGCGUGUGCAUUAACAAUAUUAUUAUUUUCUAAUAAUGUGUCAUUUCCUGCCCACCAUUUCCUCUCUGUGAUUUUUUUUCCACUUUGCCCCUAUUCUUUUGAUAACUACCACAGUGAGGAUUGAUCAAGUAGUGAUUAUGACCUUUGGUCGUCUCACAGCAAUGUUCAUGGAUUUACUUCCAGCCUCCAACUCACUUGGCUCACAUCUCCAGUUCGCUGUGAACACUGCAGGCUGCAUAUCUGCUGACAGAUUUCCGUCCGUUCUGGUCACCGGUGUCCUUUAACGGUGGCUUGUUUUUAUCCAGUAGCCCCCUGGAGGUUUGUGCUCCGUCCUCACUGAUGACCGCCGCAGCCAAUAUUGCAAUAGACAUUUUAUCAAGUUUACGGAUGAGGUGUCAUAUGGCUUUCUUUGCUCGAGGGAGGAAAUGGACGCAGUGAUGUAGUGGAUGGCUACGUCCCGGGCUAUGAUGAAUUUAUUUAUUUAUUUGGAUGAAGAAUUUUGUAAGAAAACAGGGCAAACCAUUUUUAGAAGUUUAUGUUUGUGUGUGUUAAUGCUAACAGCUGUUAAAGACGCUGAGGUCGGACUCUGCAGAUUACUCUAUUUUCUGGACUUUAGAGUACUUUAGGAAGUUUCUCCAGUAAACUGUUUUAUUGUGCUUUCCAGUAAUUGUGUCAGGUUUUUGUGUAGCAUCCAGCUUGAGUUGAACUGAUAUGAUUUAAUCUGCUAAGAGCGCUGAUGUGACAGAUAAAACUUAGCCAGGCUAGUGGUACUUGCACUAGUACUAAAAGACCUUUUGAAAAAUGCUCAUUUUGACAGUGCUAACCUGGCUGUAGUGUGUAAAAUUGUAAUCACUUUUAAUUAAUAUUAAAAGUAAAGUGACCUGACUAAUGAGUUAGAUUGCAAUAGAGUGUUUCUUCUUCACCAAUCUGGAUUUAAUCAUUAAUUAUAAUUAAACCUGGCUCUCUAAAAGAGCAUCUUUGGUGCUGUCUACCUCCCCUCCCCCCCAACCACGUGCAGCAGAUUGCCGCACCUCCCUGAGCCUGGUUCUGCUGAAGGUUUUUUCCUGUUAAAAUUGUGUUUUUCCUUCCCACUGUUGCCAAGUGCUUGCUCAUAGAGGUAAUCUGACUGUAGAAAUUUCUCUGUACCAUUGUAGCAUCAUUACCUUAUAAAAUAAAGCACCUUGAGGCGA